UACAUAGGGGGCUAGCGUUGUCCGGAAUCAUUGGGCGUAAAGAGCGUGUAGGCGGCCCGGUAAGUCCGCUGUAAAAGUCAAAGGCUCAACCUUUGAAUGUCAGUGGAUACUGCCGGGCUAGAGUCCGGAAGAGGCGAGUGGAACUCCUGGUGUAGCGGUGGAAUGCGCAGAUAUCAGGAGGAACACCGGUGGCGAAGGCGGGUCUCUGGGCCGAUACUGACGCUGAGGAGCGAAAGCGUGGGGAGCGAACAGG
rnacentral:rRNA from 1 species